CACUAAACCCAAAAUACAUUCGUCCAAACCGAAAACCAGAACGGAAUUCAGUAAUUAUGAAAAACCCUUGUUCAAACUUUGAAGGUUUGAAGUCUGAAACGAUGAAAAACCCUUCUUGAAGGCUCUCACUCUCCAACUGCGCUUCUCUCCGACGAACAAUAUCUCUAGAAAACUAUCUCUUCUCUCUCUCUAGUGGUGCUUCUCUCUCCAACAACAUAUUACACCAUAUUCCAUCUGAUACCCUUGUUAAAGGCUCUUACUCUCCGAUUGCCUUUCUCUCUGGAAAACAAUACCUCUGGAAAACGAUCUCUUCUUUCUCUCUCCAGUGGCAUUUCUCUCUCCAACAACAUAUUGCAGAUAGAUUUUUUCCUAUUUUGGAGUUAUUUCAGCUGAAGAGCAAUGGAGCUUGCAUUGGAUUUCGAGAAACUGACAAAUGAGAAGCUUCUGAAAUUGCAUAUUGUAUUGGUUGACAGAGCUUAUGUGGGGGAAAUUUUGCAGAAAAGAGCUUCUUUUUGAGAUCAAGAAGAUUGAUAGUCUAUGGUCAAUAUGAUUCAGCCUGAACAACUCAGCUUCUAAAGAUGUAGUUGUAAAUAGAUUCAGCCUUAUUUGGAUCCUUGAUAUAACUAUUUGUAUUAAAACAAGCUAUAGUUACAAUGUUGUUAAUCUAUAGAAAGAACAAAUU